UGUUCACACUAACCUCACACUCCACUCUUGUUCUUCUAGAAAACUGGCAACAUGAAGUGUUUGUUAUCUGCUCUGCUGUGCAUUUUACUCACUCUCAGUGUGGUGACAGGAACCUAUGACUGCCAGUGCACGUGUCCAACAGGCUGGAUGAAGUUUAAUGGCUUCUGCUACAAGUUCUUUACAGAAAGAAUGACAUGGGCUGAUGCAAGACACCACUGCCAUCAGCUGAGGUCACUUCUGCCCUCAGUGCCUGAUGAGCAUGUUAACACCUUCCUGUUGAACCUGAUCAGAAGUGAGGACAACAGGGAGCACUCAGUCUGGCUGGGAGGCACGGACUGCAGAAAGGAAGGGAUGUGGACCUGGGCUGAUGGGACCCCAUGGAACUAUACACUCUGGGCCACUGGAGAGCCCAAGAACUACCAACAGGAACACUGCCUGCAACUCAACUGGAAAG